CGUAGGAGGCAAGCGUUAUCCGGAUUCACUGGGCGUAAAGCGCGUGCAGGCGGUGCGGUAAGUUGGGCGUGAAAUCUCCCGGCUCAACUGGGAGAGGUCGUUCAAUACUACCGUACUUGAGAGCAGAAGAGGAAAAUGGAAUUCCCGGUGUAGUGGUGAAAUGCGUAGAUAUCGGGAGGAACACCAGUGGCGAAGGCGAUUCUCUGGUCUGUUUCUGACGCUCAGACGCGACAGCUAGGGUAGUAAACGGGAUUAGAGACCCCGGUAAUCCUAGCCGUAAACGAUGUGAACUUGGCGUUGGUGGGUUAAACUCCAUCAGUGCCGCAGCAAACGCGAUAAGUUCACCGCCUGGGGACUACGGCCGCAAGGUUA
rnacentral:rRNA from 1 species